rnacentral:misc_RNA from 1 species
UCCUGGUUUAAAGCCAGGCAGUCUGUUUAGAGAUCCCGCUUGCGCGGGCAACUAAACACAAGGGUUGCGCUCGUUGCGGCACUUAAGCCAACAUCUCACGACACGAGCUGACGACAACCAUGCAGCACCUGUGCUGGCUCUCCUCUUGCGAGGAGUCGUCCCCGUUUCUGGGUUCUACCACCAGCAUGUCAAGGCCAGGUAAGGUUCUUCGCGUUGCAUCGAAUUAAGCCACAUGCUCCACCGCUUGUGCGGGCCCCCGUCAAUUUCUUUGAGUUUCAGUCUUGCGACCGUACUCCCCAGGCGGGACACUUAACGCGUUAGCUACGGCACCGCAGGGGUUGAUACCCGCGACACCUAGUGUCCAUCGUUUACGGCUCGGACUAC